GUUUUCAAUUGCCUUGUGAAAGAAGAAACUAAAAAUUGUUAUGGUGAAGUUGAUGUGGAUGACUUCAUGUGGAGGCUGCUUAUUUAUGUCGAGGGACUGAGAAGUUAGGUUACGUUCUGAAGAAACAUCCACAAGAAUUGCUUCAUCUGUACCACUUCCUUUGAGAAAAGUGACCUAGUAAGUAACUUCAGGACCUGUAUUUUCCCUCCCUUCUUGCUUGUUCAGCUGUGCAGAUGUUACAAGGGUAACAUGCUGAAGAGUGUACCCAUGCUGAAGAAGUGCUAGUGAGAGGAUGGCUUUGCUUCUCCACCUAAUCUUGGGGAAGGAAAGAGGUGUUACCUUAAUCAUUGUAGAGUUCCAGGCUAAGAACUGACAGUGGCAUCCUCCAGAGAAAGGUAAAGAUUGCUGGCUGAUACACUUCAUGUUUCUGAUCCUCAGCUCUGAGAUGCAUUGAAGAUCUUGUGCUAAGCUGAAAUCUGGGCAGAAUAUAUCAGACAUGUUCUAGUCCCUUUUGCUUUGGUUUUCAAAAGUGGAAUUUAAGAAACCUUAACACCUAAACUGGGAGUGAGGAGUGUAGUGCAACCUCUAAAGUGCUGCAAGUUCCUGUGCUUGCUAUUGCAUUUUAAAUUCUAUUUUUAUUAGAGCUAUAUUGUAAAACUUCAGAGUGUUAUUCUGUAAAUAUCAUAUCAUACUUCUAGUUUAACUGGAAUAAAUGAUUGAUUGGAAGAAGUUUUUCAAAGCAAUAUCCAGAAGACUGUUAGUUUUACAUUGAGAUGAUACUGAAGGCUAAUUAACCUGUAAUUCAAAAAUGUCUCACCUGGAAAAAUUGAAAUUUGAGCAUGCUGCAAUACUUCCAGGCACAAAUACAAGCAAAAAAGCAUAGGCAGUAGCAACAUUUUAGCAAGUAAAAUAAUAAUGGUUUUUAAAAUACUUUUGAACUUUUUCUAUAGUUUUUGCUCAGUUACUUUGCAAGUUAAAGCUGUUACCUGUGGCUGAUACUUUUAACUGAAAUUUGGAAGGUUAUAUUUGUGACUUCCCAUUAUUCAGAGUGCUCACCCUAAUUGCUUUACUCCUGUAUUUGUAAGACUUCCAAGGUUACUCUUGUGGGGUUGAAAGUUAAAUAUGAAUCACUGGAAUUUCUUUGUCUUGUGAAAUCUAGCAGCUUGUUAUUUGUGAACAGUGUGUGAAAAUUAUCACAGAACAAAGUGUAAAUCCACUGCCAACUGUACUGUACAGAAAAUUCCUGCCAAAACUACUCAUGCUUCUGAAAGCAAAGCAAGGCAAGCGAUUGAUUUUGUUGUGCUGUCAGUGUGCCAUGGAAUCACUUCAGGGAGCUUGCAGUGCUGCAGGGUUGCAGAACCACUCGGAAGGUUGGUCCUUCCAUGCAGACUUUUCUGAGCUGCCCUUUAAGUGACCCAGUGCCCCAUCAGUUCAGCUACUCCAGGAUACCAGCAGGGUUAAUUCUCUGGUUAACAAAUAGGUUUGACUGGGUUUGAACCUUCAAAUAACUCUGAAGUUUUGUUUGAGAGAUUCUUCUUAUCUUCUAAUCACUUACUGCCUCAUGUUUUUGUGUCUCUCAACACUGGCAUAUUUUGGCUUCCCAUGCAAUCUGUUUUCUUUGCAAGUGUACCUCAUCAGCACUGUGGCUGCUCAAGAGGCUUCAGAAGCAGAAUUCUGGGAACUGCUGUGCAUUUUCAUUGAAAUGAGUGAUUGCAGCUUCUCCACAUCUAUCCAUGCAUAGGGAGCUUUAGCAGCUUCAUUAUAGCAGUAUUUUUUUGUCACAUGGGCUGUUCUUAAAGAAAAAAAUAAUUCAGCUUCUUUUCAUUAUUUUCCUUUAGUUUGCCAAACCCCUGCAGGACCUUGAUAAAAUAUUUAAUCCCAGCCUUGGGAGGGCUCUACACAUUACUAAAUCAACUGAACCGUUUGAAACUUCUGUUUUGUAAGACCACUGAAAGUAGUGUCAGACAAAAAACAGGUUAUGGGACUGUUUUGGGGAAGAAAGUUAAUGGUGUUCUUUCAUUAAAAUAUUAUUUGACAGUUCUCCCCUCAGAACAGGUGUACCCAAGGGGCUGUUCAGCUGGUACAGGUAGAACACCUUGUGAGUGUAAUUACAUGGCUGCUGAUUGUGCAACCUCAUUUCAACUGAUAAAGCAAUGUGAAAGCAAAAUAUCUGUUUGCUGCCUGUAGCCUUGUGUGGUCAGCACACAGACAGUACUUAAAAGGAAGAGAAUAGCAUCUGGAGUAAAUAAAGCCAUGGCAUAGUAAUCUGCUCAACUUCCUUUUAAGUGGAGCGGUGUCAUUCUUCUUGGUUCAGCUUGAAAAUGGGACAAGCUCCCUGCCUGCAGUCCAGUGUUUCCAUUGUACACUAUUGUUUACCGAAGCUGGCAGAAUUUUUCUUUAAGAGAAGAACUUUAUCAGCCAUAGAACUGUUAACAUAAAAUUGCUGGAAUAUCUGUAAAAAUCAUUGAAUUGGUUGACUAAAAUGGCUUGCAGGAAACCUUUUGCAGAGUAUGAAUCAGCUUCAAAUGGAAGGUAUGGAAGAGUCUAGAGUGAAUGAAGUAACCUUUCUGACUGGCAUGUUCCACAGCUUGUGUUUCCCCAGGGCUUUGAAUUCAUGCUCUAACAAGGACAUAAUGAAAGAUGCUAUCUAAAAUACAUUUUGAUUUUUAUCAUUUGGGUGUAACCAAAUGGCUGCAUUUCAGAAGUAUUACUCAUUUCAGCAGUGAUAAUUCAUCCCAGUGAUGCUGGUGUGUGCUUCACAACUGAAUUAACUUAGCUGGGAGAUGCUGAGUCUAAGGAAGUGUUCUCCUCAUCUGUAGAUAAGGGCUAUUAGCUGUCCAGAGUCAUACAGGAAGUUUGUGGCAGAGAUGAGAAUAGAACCAGGUCUCCUGACUCUGUCCUGUGCCUAAUCAUAAGACAAUUCUUCUGACUGGCUUAAAACAUUCUCUGAAAAAAAUAGUGUGUUAAUAAUUCUAGUGGGAGAUUGCCCCUCAGCUGACCAUGUUAUAGAUGCUUUAAAAGGCAUUUACAAAAUCAUGCUUUUACUUGGGGGAAAAAUACAUAGAGUUGACCAGAUUUUUCAAGACAUUUUUGAAAUUAAGGUGUUUAAGGUAAGAUCCAUGAUUAAGUAUAGCAUGAAAUCAAGGUUCCUGCACCAAAAAUCUUGUUUCAACAUGCUGUUUAAUUUAGUCUUCUCAGGGAAACUCCAUUUUUAAAAUAAUAUAGCACAAGAGGAUUCAGCAGCUUUCAUUUAAAAAAAAAGCCCUCUCAAAGAUAGUAGAAAGUUACUGCAAAUUAAUUUACUAUUCCAGUGGCUCUCAACAUUUGUGGGAGUGUGUUUGAGUAGCUUUUGUCAGCCAGCUCUCUUUAGAGGCAGAUGCUGGUGUGCAGCAGCUUUGCCCACCCAGCAGCAUGAAGGACAUUUUAUAUCAUUAAUCCACAGGGCAGUUUGUUGCCUUGCAGGAGGAGUCUUGUUUUAAAUACUCUUUUUCACUCAGCUGAAGCAGAGAUUUCCAAACCUGUUCACACUGUGAAGUCUUUCAGAACCAAGCUGAAGAGUAUCUGUUCUAGAGCUUCAGAAUGAAUAAUGGAUUGAUCUCUACAGCACAUGAACACAAUUACAUUGUCAGACUCAGAAAAUGCAGGUCCAUAUUUUGAUUCAAAAAAUUAUUUUUAAGAUUAAAAGGUUUGAGAGUGGGUUUGGUUUAUGGUGUAGUGAAAGUACAACUCAUUAGCUUUAAACUGUUGUGAUGUUGGCUGCAUCUUCCUCAGGUUGGGUCUAGAAUUUGGAAUUCAGAUCUGUCUUUGAGGGUUAUUUAAAUGUAGCAAAUGUAACACUGAGUAUUUAUAGAUCUUAUCAGCAUUUUCCUAAAGAAACAUUUGCUAGGUUCCUGUUUAGGUCAUCUUGUUACUAUUUAAAGCUUUCUUGAGUGAGGAGUCUGACAAAUUGUGCUUUUUAGCAAAUACACAAUCAGAGCAUGCUGCAGCAGGCCCUGGAGAGAUGAAAAGCAGUCGGGUGAAUUCUGUGUGUACAUGCAGAGUUUAACUGCUCAAUUCUGUAUGCUGGCUCCAUGCUUGAGUUUAGGAGCAGCAUAUAUAAAAAUGUCCAUUUAAGAAAGUAAUAUGGCCUCAGUUAUAGCCUAAGAACUUAAGGGAGUUUAAGAAAACCCUUAAAAGGUUUUCUCCUCUCUCAAAAGCACAAGAUUACAAUUGUUCCAAGUGAGACAAUCUCAAAUAUUGGGGGGCAGACAGGACACAGACAACCAAAGUGGUGGAGAAAAAGUAGGGAAUGCAGAGCAACACAUAAGGCUUAAAUCUCUGAGAACAGUUUCAAAGUUCAACAAAUUUUAUUUUAAGAGACAUAACAGUGAGUGACUGACUGCCAAUGAGUUUAUUAUAGUAUCUUAAAUUUCACUUAAGGGUUCUUGCUUCUGUGUAUUCUUCAAAAAUACCUGUUAUGUGACAUGCACAUUGUUUUGUAAACUCGGGGCUUUUUCUUUAACAUAAAAUAUACAGGUCUCACCUGAAAAGUUUAAGGAUGUUGCCAAGGGCCUAUCUGCAUCUGGUCUGAAUUUCAACACUAUUUAGAAAAUGUAGAUAAAUUGCUUUACAUACUGUGUCAGUGUCUAUGUUUUCAUUAAAUAAGAUUAGAGCUAGUUAGUUGCCUUUGAAUUUCACAGCAGUAGUUUGAUAACUGAGACUCAGUUACAAAGAGCUUGGACCUAGUUUGGGAAACAAAUGAACUGUUGGGCCUUAGUCAUAGGCUGGUUCUACUUUUUGUGAAAUUAGUUUCUAGCUGCUAAUGUCACUCUUCUGAUAUUUACUGUAGUUACCACAUAAGAGUCAAAUAAGUAAACAGGAAGGGAGGGGGAAAGUUAGAGAGCUGCUGUAGCAGCCCACGUGUUCAGGGCUCCAGAAGCAUCUCAGAAGAGUGAGCUUAUCUUAAGUGCUUCUUGUCAAUUUGGAUGUUUCACUUUGUAAAAAUUGUCCUGAUCCAGAUUAAAUACAGAUGUGUUUAACAGUAAGAGUAUAAUUUAUUGUCAUUUGGGCUGUUGCUUCUUGCUUGAUCAUAGCUUAGACUUCUCUCAGUUUCCACUGCCAGAUAGGAAGAGAAUAGUUAUGGUAGGAAAGGCCUGACAUGUCACCAUUCCUGCUUCAAAUGCUUUCACAGGAAGUAGAUGUGAAAACCACAGAUAAAGUUAGAAUCUACACCUUCAACUACUACCAAAAAAAAAUAAAAAAAGUUUGAGAUUGCUUUUCCCCACUACAAUAAGUGUACCAUUAUUUUAAAAAUUACAGAAGGUUCUUAGACUGUGAUCAUCAGAAUUAGAGUUUCAAGUAAUGGUUUCUUUGCCUUAGGAA